CUGCCCUCAAGCACGGCUUGUGUGUUGGGCUCCGUCCCCCGAUCCCGGGGGACGGGCCCGAAAGGCAGCGGCGGCACCGCGUCCGGUCCUCGAGCGUAUGGGGCUUUGUCACCCGCUCUGUAGGCCCGGCCGGCGCUUGCCGAUCAACCAAAUUUUUUAUCCAGG
rnacentral:misc_RNA from 1 species